rnacentral:rRNA from 1 species
GACAGAGGUGGCAAGCGUUGUUCGGAAUCAUUGGGCUUAAAGCGUGCGUAGGCGGCUCUGCAAGUGCCUUGUGAAAUCCCUCGGCUCAACCGAGGAAUGGCUGGGCAUACUGCCGAGCUUGAGGCAGGUAGGGGCGAGUGGAACUCUUGGUGGAGCGGUGGAAUGCGUAGAUAUCAAGAGGAACGCCGGUGGUGAAGACGACUCGCUGGGCCUGUCCUGACGCUGAGGCACGAAAGCCAGGGGAG